rnacentral:lncRNA from 1 species
GCCAUCGUCUGCUACAUUACCCAGACACGCAGGAAAAGAACGUGACAGAGAGCCCCAGCUUCUCGGCAGGGGACAACCCUCCCGUCCUGUUCAGCAGCGACUUCCGCAUCUCUGGGGCACCAGAGAAGUACGAGCCAAAGAGGUUUCUACCCUGGAAUCUCACUGAGUGCCCCAGGAGGCGAGAGGCGCCUGGGAUCUGAGAGGAGGCUGCUGGGCCUUCGGGGUGAGCCCCCAGAGCUGGACCUGAGCUAUUCUCACUCGGACCUGGGGAAACGGCCCACCAAGGACAGCUACACGCUGACGGAGGAGCUAGCUGAGUAUGCUGAAAUCCGGGUCAAGUGAAGGAGCUGGGGGCAGCCUGCGUGGCUGACCCCCCUCAGGACCCUCGCUGGCCCCCACUGGCUGUGGGCUCCCUUCCUCCCAAAAGUAUCGGGGGCUGGGG